CUGUAAAACAUUAUAGCCUCAUUAAGUUAUGUGUACUAACAUUUGCUAUUUAGUUCUACUACACACAGCAAGUUUUAGAUAUUCAACCCAAGUCUGUAAGUUUUCACAAAGUUAAACUUAAAGUUACAUAUUGUCUUAACUACUUGUGAGUUGUCUCUGUGAUGUGAAUGUUCAUUUAACUAACUUCUGUAAGUUAUGAAUCACAACGAGAGGGAGGGGUCGUGUCCAGAAAAGACCGGGAAAAUUUCAGUUAACUUUACCUCAGACACAGCGCUCAUCUGAAAUGACCAAUAAUACAUUUUUUUUGCAAGGCUGCAAAGGAGGUAUGUAUGAUUUUUUUUGUCUUGAUGUAAUAAAGAUGCCCUUUAUACAUUUUUAGAUAAAAAUAUUGAGUUUAAAGUAAAGAAAAUAUGCAGACAUCGAGCCUGCUUUGCGAAUGCGUCGUCGUCAGGAUAUUUAUCUGCUUUCACAUCGAAGCAUCAAAUGUUAAAAGAGUUUAAUACACCAUGGGGACAAUUUUGGAUAUUUCAAUUGGUUGUGCGUAACGUUAUAUCGAUUAUUUUGAUUAUAAAUAUAGCUUACAGUUUAACAUUUAAGCUUAACAGAUUUGUUUGUUCACUGUCAAUGUGAAUUAAUCACGGGCUGAGUCUUAAGCGUUUAAGAAACGGGUAAUGUAUUAUUGUGAUGCUUGAAAGAUUUUUAUCCUCGUGCGAUUAAGGGCACGAGGGGAAUAUGCGUUGAAAUGAACGCAAAUAGUGUCUAAUAAGUGUUCGAGGAUCUGUUCGUCUGACAUAAAGGCCAUAAAAAACCUUUAAAUAGAUUUAUAUCUCUCAGUCACUUAACAAGUGGACACAAUAUCUGUUCGUUUCCACAGAAUUAUGUGUUUAAGUCUAGCAGGGCAGCCAUUUCAGGCUACUGCGCACGCGCAUAGGUUUGCAACCUCUCGCCAGAGAAUCCCCUUUACAUGUUGUUGAUGGACGCACGUGUUUGCUGAACAUACAGGACACCAUAUGAUUAAAAACUGCCUCCCUAUCUUGUCAUAAAUAACAGGUAUUUGCAUGAUUUUUACCAUUUUAUAAUCUGUAUGUCGUAUUUUUGGUAUUUUGUACAAGAGUACUAAGUAUUUUGAUCAUAGCGAUUACAGUGGUGUAAGUUACCGGAUCGCAGACGACCAUAGACUGUAAAAAAUAGAUCACGACCCACGGUUCGGCUCCCAUGCGAUUCGCGGAUUAAUAUCUAUACAAAGUUUGUCAUUUGCAUGUUUAUUAAAGUCUUGCAAAUGUUAACACUCAAGUGAUUUUUAAACAAUUUAACCACAAAAGUCUGUUUUUACUUUUUACAGUCUCGUUUUGUCACUCUGCAUCUUGUGGCUGAUAAGCUAUUGAAGAAGAGCUGUCCAUCACUUUAUGGACAUUCAAGUUAACAUAAGGUAUUGUAAACGCAAUUUUACCUAAUACUAUCAACUUAAUACAUUUACUGUAAACUGUGCAGUUCUUUACUCAUACAAUUUCAUGUUUUUUUUUCCUAAUCUGCUUUUAUUACUUUGUCUUGUUUUGUUACUCUGCAUCUUUGUGGCCGCCCAUCACUUUGACGACGUUCAAGUUAACAUAAGGUAUUGUAAAAGCAAUGUUGCCUAAUACUAUCAACUUAAUACAUUUACUGUAAACUGUGCAGUUCUUCACUCAUACAAUUUCAUGUUUUUUUUUCCUAAUCUGCUUUUAUUACUUUGUCUUGUUUUGUUACUCUGCAUCUUUGCGGCCGCCCAUCACUUUGACGACGUUCAAGUUAACAUAAGUCCGCUUGCUAUUGAAGAAGAGCUGCCCAUCACUUUGACGACGUUCAAGUUAACAUAAGGUAUUGUAAAAACAAUGUUGGCCUAAUACUAUCAACUUAAUACAUUUACUGUAAACUGUGCAGUUCUUUACUCAUACAAUUUCAUGUUUUUUUUUUCCUAAUCUGCUUUUAUUACUUUGUCUUGUUUUGUUACUCUGCAUCUUUGUGGCCGCCCAUCACUUUGACGACGUUCAAGUUAACAUAAGUCCGCUUGCUAUUGAAGAAGAGCUGCCCAUCACUUUGACGACGUUCAAGUUAACAUAAGUCCGCUUUUACUACUUUGUCUCGUUUGGUCACUCUGCAUCUGUGUGGCUGCAUAGAAGAAGAGCUGCUCAUCACUUUGACGACAUUCAAGUUAACAUAAGCAGUUGGUGCAUUAAGAUACCUCUCAGAGUUAUUGUGUCAUCUCAAGAAAUAAGGUGUGUCACCCUAGAGAGUUUUCCUGAGUCAGUCAAGGAGCUAUGUGUGACAUGGUGCAUCAUUCUGGGCUUGCAAGGAAACUUUCUUCUACACUUUGAGGAUCCAGACUUUGGAAAUGAGCACUGCAAUUUCACCGAUAUUAAAGAUCUACCAUCAGAUCGAGUGACACUGAAAGUUUUGUUGACAGCUUCUGGUUCGGUUUCUGACUUUGCAUUACAAUUACUACUAGUGCCUCAUCAGUGGAAUGGCCUGAUCCUUUUGUUAUUCCUGAUUUCUCUCAUGAUGUUGAACUUCAGUUGAGCGCUGCAAAUGAUGCCUAUGCCAGGGAUGGAACAGUAAUGGUCAUUUCCAAUGGUGUUAAAUACUAGACAAACCAGCUGAUGUGAAAUGUUGACUGUUUCCAAGGUCCAUCGGUUUAUUUUGUAAAAGACUUUCUUAGCGACUGGGUAUUAACAAAAAAGGUUUGGUGAUAGUUAUAUUGCAUUAAUUGUUCUUUAAAAAAAACUAACUCUAAAAUACGUGGCUUUUAAAAUAAUAAUAAUAAUACUAAUAAUUUGAAAAUUAACAGUGCAAAACUAUUUUUAUCAUAUUUGAGUUUUUAUCAGUAAAAGAAACAUUACACAUACCUGUAUCUAUUAUUACAACUAUGGUGUUGAUUUCACAGUUUAAAAACAUUAAAGAAACCCAUAUAAUAUUUAAAUGAAAUUUGUUUUUAAUAAACAUUUGUAAUAUUCAUUUUUAACAAAAAUGCUUUUCCAAGCCAAUGUUACAAAUUGUUCUUGUGCAAAUAAAUAGUUUUUGAGCUAAUAAUUUGCAA